AAGUAAAGCUGUCGGGUAGGCUUAAUACAUGCUAGUCGUGGGGCAUGCAUGAAUGUAGCAAUACAUUUGAUGGCGACCGGCAAACGGGUGCGGAACACGUACACAACCUUCCUAUAAGUGGGGAAUAGCCCAGAGAAAUUUGGAUUAAUACCCCGUAACAUAACGAUGUGGCAUCACAUUGUUAUUAUAGCUUCGGCGCUUAUUGAUGGGUGUGCGGCUGAUUAGAUAGUUGGCGGGGUAACGGCCCACCAAGUCUACGAUCAGUAGCUGAUGUGUGAGCAUGAUCAGCCACACGGGCACUGAGACACGGGCCCGACUCCUACGGGAGGCAGCAGUAAGGAAUAUUGGUCAAUGGACGCAAGUCUGAACCAGCCAUGCCGCGUGAAGGAUUAAGGUCCUCUGGAUUGUAAACUUCUUUUAUCUGGGACGAAAAAAGGCGAUUCUUCGUCACUUGACGGUACCAGAUGAAUAAGCACCGGCUAACUCCGUGCCAGCAGCCGCGGUAAUACGGAGGGUGCAAGCGUUAUCCGGAUUCACUGGGUUUAAAGGGUGCGUAGGCGGGCAGGUAAGUCAGUGGUGAAAUCCUGGAGCUUAACUCCAGAACUGCCAUUGAUACUAUCUGUCUUGAAUAUUGUGGAGGUAAGCGGAAUAUGUCAUGUAGCGGUGAAAUGCUUAGAUAUGACAUAGAACACCUAUUGCGAAGGCAGCUUACUACGCAUAUAUUGACGCUGAGGCACGAAAGCGUGGGGAUCAAACAGGAUUAGAUACCCUGGUAGUCCACGCCCUAAACGAUGGAUACUCGACAUACGCGAUACACUGUGUGUGUCUGAGCGAAAGCAUUAAGUAUCCCACCUGGG
rnacentral:rRNA from 1 species